GAGGAAAAGAAACCAACAGGGAUUGCCCCAGUAACGGCGAGUGAAGCGGCAACAGCUCAAAUUUGAAAUCUGGCUCUAGGGCCCGAGUUGUAAUUUGCAGAGGAUGUUUCUGGCAAGGUGCCUUCCGAGUUCCCUGGAACGGGACGCCAUAGAGGGUGAGAGCCCCGUCUGGUUGGAUGCCGAGCCUCUGUGAAACUCCUUCGACGAGUCGAGUAGUUUGGGAAUGCUGCUCUAAAUGGGAGGUAUACGUCUUCUAAAGCUAAAUACCGGCCAGAGACCGAUAGCGCACAAGUAGAGUGAUCGAAAGAUGAAAAGCACUUUGAAAAGAGGGUUAAAUAGUACGUGAAAUUGUUGAAAGGGAAGCGCUCAUGACCAGACUUGGGCCGGUUGAUCAUCCAUCGUUCUCGGUGGUGCACUCUGCCGGUUCAGGCCAGCAUCAGUUUAUCUCGGGGGACAAAGACGUCGGGAACGUGGCUCUUCCGGGAGUGUUAUAGCCCUUCGUGUAAUACCCUGAAGUAGACUGAGGUACG
rnacentral:rRNA from 1 species